UACGGAGGGUGCAAGCGUUAUCCGGAUUCAUUGGGUUUAAAGGGUCCGUAGGCGGGAUAAUAAGUCAGUGGUGAAAUCCUACAGCUCAACUGUAGAACGGCCAUUGAUACUGUUAAUCUUGAGUAAGGUUGUAGUGGUUGGAAUGUGUAGUGUAGCGGUGAAAUGCAUAGAUAUUACACAGAACACCGAUUGCGAAGGCAGAUCACUAAACCUUAACUGACGCUGAUGGACGAAAGCGUGGGUAGCGAACAGG
rnacentral:rRNA from 1 species